GACGAACGCUGGCGGCGUGCUUAACACAUGCAAGUCGAACGGAAAGGCCCUGCUUUUGUGGGGUGCUCGAGUGGCGAACGGGUGAGUAACACGUGAGUAACCUGCCCUUGACUUUGGGAUAACUUCAGGAAACUGGGGCUAAUACCGGAUAGGAGCUCCUGCUGCAUGGUGGGGGUUGGAAAGUUUCGGCGGUUGGGGAUGGACUCGCGGCUUAUCAGCUUGUUGGUGGGGUAGUGGCUUACCAAGGCGUUGACGGGUAGCCGGCCUGAGAGGGUGACCGGCCAAAUUGGGACUGAGAUACGGCCCAGACUCCUACGGGAGGAAGCAGUGGGGAAUAUUGCACAAUGGGCGGAAGCCUGAUGCAGCAACGCCGCGUGCGGGAUGACGGCCUUCGGGUUGUAACCCGCUUUCGCCUGUGACGAAGCGUGAGUGACGGUAAUGGGUAAAGAAGCACCGGCUAACUACGUG
rnacentral:rRNA from 1 species